rfam:Jejuia pallidilutea DNA, contig: NODE_1_1/1, strain: JCM 19538.
GUGCAUUAGGGAUUGAAAUGACAUCCUUUUUUAGUGCCAGUUCGAGUAAAUUUGUGAAGUAUGAGCAAAUUUAUAUCGAGAACAAACUAAAAAAGAUAUAAUGGAAAGCCCGACCCGAU